rnacentral:rRNA from 1 species
AUGCACGCUGGCGGCGUGCCUAAUCCAUGCACGUCGAGCGAACAGACGAGGAGCUUGCUCUUCUGACGUUAGCGGCGGACGGGUGAGUAACACGUGGAUAACCUACCUAUAAGACUGGGAUAACUUCGGGAAACCGGAGCUAAUACCGGAUAAUAUAUUGAACCGCAUGGUUCAAUAGUGAAAGACGGUUUUGCUGUCACUUAUAGAUGGAUCCGCGCCGCAUUAGCUAGUUGGUAAGGUAACGGCUUACCAAGGCAAUGAUGCGUAGCCGACCUGAGAGGGUGAUCGGCCACACUGGAACUGAGACACGGUCCAGACUCCUACGGGAGGCAGCAGUAGGGAAUCUUCCGCAAUGGGCGAAAGCCUGACGGAGCAACGCCGCGUGAGUGAUGAAGGUCUUCGGAUCGUAAAACUCUGUUAUUAGGGAAGAACAAAUGUGUAAGUAACUAUGCACGUCUUGACGGUACCUAAUCAGAAAGCCACGGCUAACUACGUG